UUCUAUAAUUGGAAAGCAUUGUGCAAUAUGUUGGCGCUAUAUAAUUAAUCAUAAUAAUUGUGUUAAUUUAACUCUAAACGUGCCAGGCGCCCCCUAAUGAAAACAAUGAACACUAACUCACCUUUUUAUCCAGCAGUGAGUCCUCUCUCAGGGUUGCCCGUUCUACCCCAGGGAGACUGUCAGUGCCAACAGCCUACCCUUCCUGUCUGAGGAUAAUUGCUGCAAUUGCCCUAAUCAAAUGCAGUGAUUGCUUCUCACACAGAAUUCCCAGGCAGCACCUAGUGGUUAUCCUGGAAACGUGAUGGUAGGAACACAGGAUGCAUGUUUGGGAGAAAUCAGGAUUCUGUAAUAGUAUAUUAUUGGUCUUUAAAACCCAGAGACUUCACAAAAAGCUUUAAAGUAGCAAAUGAGAGAGAAUCCUGAGAAUAUCGCGGAGGUUAGGUUACCAGAGUUAAAAAUAAUCAUAAAACAAGGAAAAAAUCAAUGUGCACAGCAAGCAAGGAAAACCAGCAACAAGCCUGGAUCAUGAUAACAGCGAUAAGAAAAAAAACAACAUUCUGGAUAGCAAUAGGAAGAGACUAAAUCACUAUCAAUACCAGAGCCACAAGCAGGUGUAGUCUCUGGAGUUGUCACAGUUAGGCCUUUAGCAUGUUUUAGGGCUCACAUAGUGCGAGGGAUUACUAGACACCCUCAUGUUGUAUGGGAGUAGACAGGAUAAUAAAUUGGUUCCCCUCAAAAUUAGAGGGCCU